rnacentral:rRNA from 1 species
GAUGAACGCUGGCGGCGUGCCUAACACAUGCAAGUCGAACGGAGUUUAUAUUAUGAAGUUUUCGGAUGGAAUGAUAUAAACUUAGUGGCGGACGGGUGAGUAACGCGUGGGUAACCUGCCUCAUACAGGGGGAUAACAGUUGGAAACGACUGCUAACACCGCAUAAGCAUACAGUAUCGCAUGAUACAGUGUGAAAAUAUUUAUAGGUAUGAGAUGGGCCCGCGUCUGAUUAGCUAGUUGGUGAGGUAAAGGCUCACCAAGGCGACGAUCAGUAGCCGGCUUGAGAGAGUGACCGGCCACAUUGGGACUGAGACACGGCCCAAACUCCUACGGGAGGCAGCAGUGGGGAAUAUUGCACAAUGGGGGAAACCCUGAUGCAGCGACGCCGCGUGAGUGAAGAAGUAUUUCGGUAUGUAAAGCUCUAUCAGCAGGGAAGAAAAUGACGGUACCUGACUAAGAAGCCCCGGCUAACUACGUG